rnacentral:rRNA from 1 species
UACGUAGGGUCCGAGCGUUGUCCGGAAUUACUGGGCGUAAAGAGCUCGUAGGUGGUUUGUCGCGUUGUUCGUGAAAACUCACAGCUCAACUGUGGGCGUGCGGGCGAUACGGGCAGACUUGAGUACUGCAGGGGAGACUGGAAUUCCUGGUGUAGCGGUGGAAUGCGCAGAUAUCAGGAGGAACACCGGUGGCGAAGGCGGGUCUCUGGGCAGUAACUGACGCUGAGGAGCGAAAGCGUGGG